CCAGACUCCUACGGGAGGCAGCAGUGGGGAAUAUUGCACAAUGGGGGAAACCCUGAUGCAGCGACGCCGCGUGAGCGAUGAAGUAUUUCGGUAUGUAAAGCUCUAUCAGCAGGGAAGAAAAUGACGGUACCUUACUAAGAAGCCCCGGCUAACUACGUGCCAGCAGCCGCGGUAAUACGUAGGGGGCAAGCGUUAUCCGGAUUUACUGGGUGUAAAGGGAGCGUAGACGGCCAGACAAGUCUGAAGUGAAAAUCCAGCGCUUAACGUUGGAAGUGCUUUGGAAACUGCCGGGCUAGAGUGCAGGAGGGGCAGGCGGAAUUCCUAGUGUAGCGGUGAAAUGCGUAGAUAUUAGGAGGAACACCGGUGGCGAAGGCGGCUUACUGGACUGUAACUGACGUUGAGGCUCGAAAGCGUGGGGAGCAAACAGGAUUAGAUACCCGGGUAC
rnacentral:rRNA from 1 species